AUAAAUGAUGAACAACGGGUCUACUGAGGCUUAACCCGACGGGGUUGGCCGGUGAGGAACCGUUGGAGCACUGAUG
rnacentral:snoRNA from 1 species